rnacentral:rRNA from 1 species
AUUGAACGCUGGCGGCAGGCCUAACACCUGCAAGUCGAGCGGAGCGGCGGACGGGUGAGUAAUGCCUAGGAAUCUGCAUGGGAGUGGGGGAUAAGGUCAGGGAACGGGCGCGAAUACCGCAUACUAUGAAAUGAGCCUAGGUCGGAUUAGAUAGUGGGUGGGGUAAAGGCCUAGAAAGGCGACGAUCCGUAACUGGUCUGAGAGGACGAUCCGCCACACUGGGACUGAGACACGGCCCAGACUCCUACGGGAGGCAGCAGUGGGGAAUUUUGGACAAUGGGGGCAACCCUGAUCCAGCCAUGCCGCGUGUAUGAAGAAGGCCUUCGGGUGGUAAAGUACUUUUGUUAGGGAAGCGGUACCUAAAGAAUAAGCACCGGCUAACUACGUGCCAGCAGCCGCGGUAAUAC